AUAACGACUCUCGGCGACGGAUAUGUCGGCUCUCGCAUCGAUGAAGAACGUAGMGAAAUGCGAUACUUGGUGUGAAUUGCAGAAUCCCGUGAACCAUCGAGUCUUUGAACGCAAGUUGCGCCCGAAGCCAUCAGGUUGAGGGCACGUCUGCCUGGGCGUCGCGC
rnacentral:rRNA from 1 species